rnacentral:rRNA from 1 species
UACGGAGGUGGCGAGCGUUAAUCGGAAUUACUGGGCGUAAAGUGUGCGCAGGCGGCCGCGCAAGUCGAGUGUGAAAGCCCCGGGCUUAACUUGGGAAUUGCGCUCGAAACUACGUGGCUGGAGUGUGGCAGAGGAAGGUGGAAUUCCAGGUGUAGCGGUGAAAUGCGUAGAGAUCUGGAGGAACACCGAUGGCGAAGGCAGCCUUCUGGGCCAACACUGACGCUCAUGCACGAAAGCGUGGGGAGCAAACGGG